AAAUAGAGACCAUCCUUUUCUUCUUAACCCUAGAGUCCUGCUCUCUCCCUCCCCACAGCAGCAGCCACCCUACCUUUUUCUAUACUGCACGUAGAAGGAGAAAGAGAGGGGAAAAGAAGAAAGAAGGGGGAGGAGAUCAGGAGGAGGAAGAAGGGGGCCGGUGCCCCUCUCACCCAGCUGCUGGUCUGUGCAGCAGCAAGGGAGGAGGAGAAAGGGAGAAGGGAAGAAGGGAAGGAGGAGGAGAAGAAAGAGGAAAAUCCUGAGCUCUUGUCAAGUUGCUCGUGGUUGCCCUAGGUGGUGGUGUUCCUGAUCGUGUUUGAAGGUUGUCGGUUGUAUCGAAAAAAGGC